GAAUGACAACAUAACGAUCUAUGAAGCGUAGUGUGGUAAGAAGUCUUCGACAUUGCAGAAAAUACCUUUUCUGCAACGCUCCAGCUAAGUCAUCAGGUCACCUGGGGGAUGUCUGAGUGAUCAACGUCAUUGAGAUAGUGCUCCUAAGUAAAAGAGCGCUAUUGUCUUUGUCCGCAAGCAGACUUGUCAUUACUCAUACAAAUGCUUGUGAGUGAGUUUUGCUUUAUCAUAAUUCGGAGGAAAUAUCUGCAGAAUUCUGAACAAGAGUGCAGUGCUCUCUCGAUUCAUUUACUGAACUUGGAAAUCAGUUUGGCAGAUAAAUGCCUUUCUGCUUCCAUGGGUUUGAAGCAUUGUAAGCAACUUGCAACAGAUUGAAACAUGGGCUUAUCAGUAAUUAGACUGAAAAUCUCAAGUGCAGACUAAAGACAGGUUUCGUUUUAAUUAUCUUCAAGAGUGCCCUCCAGGAGUAAGUAACAAGCUCUUUAAUAUGCACGGAAUUACUAACAAAUUUUUUUACUAGAGUGAAGUUUCAGAAGAGUUCAUUAUUGUAAAUGUACUAAAUUACAAAUAGUGGAGAUACUUUUAAAUAAUUUUUUUAGGAUAUUAUUCU
rnacentral:lncRNA from 1 species